rnacentral:rRNA from 1 species
CUACGGGGUGCUCCAGUGGGGAAUCUUGUGCAAUGGGCGAAAGCCUGACACAGCAACGCCGCGUGCGGGAUGAAGGCCUUCGGGCUGUAAACCGCUUUCAGCAGGAACGAAAAUGACGGUACCUGCAGAAGAAGGAGCGGCCAACUACGUGCCAGCAGCCGCGGUGACACGCAGGCUCCAAGCGUUGUCCGGAUUUAUUGGGCGUAAAGAGCUCGUAGGCGGUUUAGUAAGUCGGGUGUUAAAACUCCGGGCUCAACCCGGAGAGGCCAUCCGAUACUGCUGUGACUUGAGUUCAGGAGGGGAGCGGGGAAUUCCUAGUGUAGCGGUGAAAUGCGCAGAUAUUAGGAGGAACACCGGUGGCGAAGGCGCCGCUCUGGACUGAAACUGACGCUGAGGAGCGAAAGCAUGGGUAGUAAACAGGAUUAGAUACCCGUGUAGUC